GAAUCAGCUGUGGUGGACCAAGGACACAUCUAAAACCUGCAGGACACUGGCCCUCGAGACCUGGAGUUGGAGUCCCCUGCUCUAAAGGCAAAAGAAGUCCACACUUGUACGUGUUACUAAUGAAGUUGAUAGUAGUUUUCAGUGUAUUUAGGACAUGCAUAGAAUCCACAGUCAAAUCUGAUUUUAGAAAAGCAAUGUUUAAACAGUUUGAUUAAGUUACUUCUAUUACCUUCUUUGCUAUUUUCCACCAGAAACAGACUAAGAAUCAGAAUACUUUAUUAAUUCCUAAAGAAAUUAGGGAUUAACCAAAGAUUUCAAUCUGAGAUUUUCUCAUGUCACUCUCUUAUAACGUCUUUGUGUAAAAUCUUAAUCAGAAAAGCUGAAAAUGUAGUUUUCCAAAUACAUUCAUUACCAGACUAAACAAUGUCUGGUGUAACCAGCAUGUGAAGGGUGAAGAAAUUUGUAUCAUAACAGAUAAUUAUGUGAUUUUUUGACCAGAGAAAACAAAGGCAGAGUGGAACAAACUCUUUUCCUUAACAGUUUUGACUUCGGCAGUAACAAGUGACAUGUAUGGCAAAGGCAAUUAGGAUACCUGAUCUCAAUUCUGCUAAUAAAGACUGUCUGCAGAGAGUAUUUAGACUUCAGUGGGAUUAGGCAGAUCUUUGUCAUGUAGAUCUCUGGAAUGCCCCUGGUGUCCAAGAUAAAAUGAAGACAAAUCCUUAGUAGAGGAAGGAGAACAAAACAGAGGGAAGGGAGUGGAGGACAGAGAGCUCUCAGUUAAUGACAGGGCUACUCUGCAUCACUGCACUGACUAAUGAGCACUCCAACAAGGGUGAACUUAAAGACCAGUCUGUGAGCGUGCACAUGUGUGUAAAUGGUGUAGCCAUACGCAUGUGUCGUACAGAGCAUACAGCGUUAUUUAAAGAAGAUACUUACAAGGGGAAAUGAAGGAAGAGAGAAAGAAAACAAGAGAAGGAAGGAGAGCGAGAGAGAGAGUAAAUCUCUGAGCUUGAGAUCCACCUUGCGUGACAGAGGAGGAAGCUCUUAAUAAUUCACAUGAUAUUGAUUUAGUUACCUUGCUUCCUACUUCACUCCCACGCUCUGGGAGAGGAAGCCCACCUGUAGGUUCUUGCUUUCCCUGGCACAUAAUGCAAAUACAAAGAGGCUGCAAUCAGAACAAAUAUGACAAUUCUUGAAAAUGCACCUGCCGCCAUACCAUCAAGAAAGAUGUGGAAGGGUCAUCAUUAAGGUGAUGAUAAUUAUACAUAACUUGAUAGUGAUGAUUUCACAUCAUAAGGUUAAAAAAAAGCAUUUAAUGGAAUCUUUGAAUGGGAAAAUGUGAAAUAUGCAUAUUUGCACUGUAAAAUCUCAACUUUAAACCAAAUUCAUCUGAUUAAAUAUUCUUCAUGAACAUUCAUCCUGCCUUAUAAUUCAAAUGUAACCACUGCUAAAUUUGUUGGCCUUUUCCUUACACCAGACUACAGUUUAAGGAGGAAUUAAAAAGGUAUCAUUUGCCUCUAGUAUUAACAGCUCCUUAUUUCAUCCACUCCUUAAUCACACAGGAAGAGGGAUCAGGCCUGAUUUUUUUUCUCUGUCUUAUAUAUAACACAAAUGAAACAGCCUGUGGAGUCUUGUCUCCUGAGCUUUAUCAUCACCUAGUGGACGUGCUGGGUAAGACAUUAGUUGUGGCAGAAAAAGGCCUUUUCAACACUUAAAAUAGGAUUAUUUGGCAUGGAUAAAUGAAGCACUGCAGGUCACUGUAAGUCACUGUCAGGGUGGGGCUGGUGGUGGGUAAAGAGGAUACUAUACAGCAGAUUAUUAGAAUACUACACUGAACAGUUAACUGUUCAAUUAAUUCUGUAUAGCAGAGCACCAGAGUCUUACAGUUUUUCUCAGUUGCUUUGGUGCAUUUCUCACAACAGAAUUAAACUUUGCACAAUAGUUAGUUCAACCUCCACAACAUGUAGUCGUUUUGGCACAACCUUGUGGUGGUUUCAUGUUCAUUUCGUCCAAAGGCAAAUGCCUUUGGACAUGAAGCAGUUGAGUAAGUACAAAUAUCUAAAGAAUGGUCACUUUUGACUUGCUAUUCAUCACUAUCUCCUUGCUUUUAUCAUGAAUGUCACAAUUAUUUAUACUUGUACCGGCUGAAUAGUCAUUGUCCAUACAACUAAUAGUCUUCAUUUCAUUGCUUGUGUCAGUGCACUCAAAAUUGUUGAACAUCUUGUCAAACAAUUUGUACACCCAUUUUGAAAACCCUAUUUUUAAGGAGUUUCCAUGAAAAUCUCCAUAAAUUACUUUUCUCAGGUGAACCUUAUCUCACACUAAUGAAAAUUGGUGUGUGUUACUCUUACUUGCAACCAAUGAAAAGCCUCUUCUACCCAGUCACAGGUGAAUCACGUUACAGUAUCCCCUACUCUACAAGUAUAUAUAUAAUGUAAACCAACAGACAGGAUUGGCAUGAGGUGCAUACUGAAUCUACAAAACUGCAGAACAUGGAACGGCAGCCUUGUGGAAGAGGGGUGAGGAUCGGUGGAGGACGAGGACAAAACCAGGACUGCCAGACAACCUAGAAGAGGUGGAAGAGGUCCACUUUUGACUCCGCAGCAAGAGGAAAGAAUUUGUGCAAUGGUGGCUGCAAACAACGCUUUGAGACUGAGAGAAAUACAAAGAACUGUCGUAGAAGAUGACACCAUCUUCGGAAAUAUUUAGUCAAUAUCAAUUUCCACCAUAGACAGAGUCCUCAGACGGAAUGAAAUGUCCAUGAAGCAAUUGUACAAAGUACCAUUUGAACGGAACAGUGAUCGAGUGAAGGAGCUCCGUCACCAGUAUGUACAGCGUAUCCUGGAAUUGGAGGCCAGGGAACCCCUGCACAUGUUUGUAUAUCUUGACGAAGCGGGAUUCAAUCUCGCAAAAGGCAGACGGCGUGGACGAAAUCACAUUGGAGAAAGAGCCACCAUUGAUGUCCCAGCCCAACGAGGAGGAAAUGUUACAAUGUGUGCAGCAAUCUCAGGAAAUGGCGUUCACACCCAUAUUCCUCAUAUUGGUGCAUACAAUACACAACACCUGUUGGCUUUUCUGGAUGCUCUUUAUAGGGACCUAAUCCCACAAAAUGAAAGGGAUGAUCCUGGUGACAGUCGGACAAUGUAUGUAGUGGUUUGGGAUAAUGUUAGCCUCCAUCACUCUGCUGUAGUCAGGCAGUGGUUUGCAGCACACGACAGGAUACUUAUAGAGUUUCUUCCUCACACUCCAUUCCUAAAUCCAAUUGAGGAGUUUUUCUCUUCCUGGAGGUGGAAGGUAUAUGACAGGCAUCCACAUACCCAAAUGACCCUGCUAGCAGCUAUGGAUGCAGCUUGUGAUGACAUCACAGCAGAGUCCUGCAGAGGGUGGAUUCGACACUCCAGAAGAUACUUUCUCCGAUGCAUCGAUAGAGCUGACAUUCGCUGUGAUGUUGAUGCAAAUAUGUGGGCAGACAGACGGGAGCGUCUAGAUAUCAAUGAUUGAUAUGCAGCAGUGUCUGUUUUUCAGUUGUUGUUGGUUUUUUUUUUUUUUUUUUUUUUUUUUUUUUGUUGUUGUUGUUUCAUAACUACUGCAGUAAGGUUUACUGUCUAAGUGAGUCUGUUUGCUGUAAAAUGUUUGAUUUACUGUAUUUCCCCAGUUGCACAAUGCUGUGCACAGUUUCAAUUGAAUAUUAUCAAGAGUGCAUAUGAAGUGUCUUGAGUUUCCUUUACAAUUUAUGGUUUUCAACAUGCCAUGCAUGCUGUCCAGACUUGACAUGUCAUUGGGAAGCACCUACAAAGAAAUCCGUCACAAUGAGAACAUGUUCAAACCAUUUGAUUUUGUGACCAAAGGUGCUGGUGUACUGACUUGUAAUUGUGACAGCCCAGACACUUUGACAUAAGUACUUGCUUUUGAUGAAUAUAUUAUCUGUUUUGAUUAAGGGACUUGCUUUUUGAAGCAUUGACUACUUAUUUUGAGCAACUGACUUGCUUUUGAACAACUGACUUUUCUUUUUGAUGAAGUGACUCACUUUUGCAAGUUAUCCACCAUGUUUUGCAGUUUGCACUAAUUGUUUUGUGAAGAGCCUUAGUAGUGGUGCAGAGAUCAAUUCUGUUGUGAGAAAUGCACCAAAGUAACUGAGAAAAACUGUUAAAAAAAAAAAAAAAGAAGCAUCUGGAGAUGAGUUAAUGUCAAGUUGGGAAUUACAGGUUAUCUUUUUUAGGAGGAGAUAAAUGCAUAUAAAGCCUGGUUUUAAAAAUUGUUUAUAAACAUAUAGAUGCUGGUAGCGCCCCGCUCCCCCAAAAAAAGAGUCACCAGAAAGCUCCAAGCUCCAUGCUCUAAAAAGAAAGAAACAAAGCCAAGAAAAAAGAAAACAACUGACAGUGAUGGUUUGAUGGGCUUUAUAUCAAAUAAAUGUAGGACGUUUUAAAAACAAGUACUAAAAUCAUAAAUUUUUCUCAGUGAACAAGUUUAACAAAUGUAAUUUAUUCAUCCAAAAUUUGCAUGACUUUAUAGGAAGAUCAUCACAUGGAUUUUCUUUACAUAAUGUACACUAAUAUAUCCUAAACAUAGUUAUACUGUCUUAUCAUAUUACUCCAAAAUAUUCCAAAUUAAAACUGUUUAAACUCAAACUCUUUUCACAUUAACAACAAGGAUCUGGAAAAAUCCUUGUUUUACGUUUGCUCUGUGGGGGAAAUGAUGACUGCUUGGUUACUGAAAGUAGUUUUGUGAUCAAUUCAUUCACUAUUUAUUGCACCCAUAAUAUUAAAUAUAAUGUUUUCUGUAUUUAUGAGCCAAUAAGUAAAUGAAGGUGUUAAAUGUGUUACUUUAGCGCAGCUUUUAUUCUCAUAGCAGGAAAAGCAGAUAGACAGACAGACUGACAGAUAAAGUUAAGGUGUGUAUUUAAUUUUCUGCCACUCAUAUGUUUAUGUAUUCACAGCUUCAAAAACAUGAAAAUGAAUGUAAGUUAAAAAGCACCUUAAACUAAAUACCAACUUAAAUAUGAAAUCAUUUGAUAAUAUUUUGUUCCCAACAAUCACAAACAGAUUAAAGCUGAUCUUCACUUAUCCAAUAUAUGAAAGGAAAUAACAUGAAGGUAAAUCACAAUAACAAUAAUCAUUUUAAUAAUGUGAUUGCACAGUUGAUGCAAAAAAAUAUUAAUUUCUUACAUGGCACUUCAUCAAUCCUCUUCUACAUUUUGAAUGUCAUCUUAAUAUCUGUGUUACUUGAUGUUUUGUUUUUUUUCUCUAAAGUACAGUAAUGUUCUUACAUCAACAAGUCAGUCUGGGUUUAAAACCUUGACUUACUUACAUGACUUGUGAUGUCACAACUAGCCUGGAGCCAAUUGCAAUCCAAUGUGCAACUGUCACAUAACUGAUGUCAAAACUGGAACAUAUAAACAUGUUUAAAAAAACACUGAAAUCCACCUAUAAACUCCUUUUAAGUAUGCUGCAUUUGGUGAUAUGAAUUAUAUUCAUAAUUCAAUGUGCCUGAAUUAUGAAUGUCUAAAUUUAUCCACUAGACAGUGUCAUGAAGAAGAAACUGAAAAAAUAGCUAUAUGAUGCUAUUAUCAAAUGGAUUUUGCCAAAUGAUUCAAAGCGCAAGGUGGUAACAGAAAUAUAGCCAAAAAGUAUAUAUAAAUAAUGAAAAAUAAUGUAAAUACAGAUAAUUGUAAGUGUGAAAAAUCUCAGUUUACUUCUCAUAAUUGAGUGUCAAUUAAAUAAGAAGUAGUGUACAUGUUAGUAACAGGGAAUUACAAAUUUUUGCAUUUAUUUUAAAUGUAUAAUGCUGUUAGUAUGUUUAAAACAAUGCGAGGAAAUCAUUUCAACAAUGCAUAGAACAUUAAUUUCAUUUAUUUCCAUUUUUUAAUUAAAAUUCUGAUGGAAAUCAAAUGAUUUCAUUUGUUAAAAUAUUUAUUUUUUGGAACAAAUUAAUAAAAAUAAAAACAAAAACAGAUGGAAUCAUUAAUGGCGUGGAUUGACCAUUUAUAUAAAAACACUGCCACCUACUGGCACAGAACACUAUGAGCAACGCCAUGUAAUUCAUAUUUACUUGCAGCUUACAUAACAUACGUACGGGAUCCAAGACCCAUCCUGGUCCAUUUUAGGAUAGGAAUCUGUUUGUUAAAGAUGAAUAUUUACUGAAAGAAGCAAAUGUUAAGACAUGAGUUGUAGUGUUGUGCUAAUAUUAGAUGAAAUAUGUUUGUUCUGACAUGGUUUUACAUGCCUUUGAUGUAUUCAGUGUUUCCUGCACUGUUCUAUGCUCUGUUCUAUUUUUGCUUUUAUCAACACAUUUCAUCAUUUCCCAUGAUUCAUGACUAUGUCGAUCAUUUUAAACUGAGACAAUCGGUGCAAAAAAGA